rnacentral:lncRNA from 1 species
UUGUGAUUUUGUCUGUUUUGUAUGCCUUUGUGUUCAUAGUUCAGAUAAGUUGAAUUGUUUCUGUUUUCAAGCAUGUUAUAUGAAUUGCAAACAUUUGAUGAAUUGCAUGUAAUAAAUAUAAUGUAAUCAGUAAAAAUAAAGAGUACAAAAAGAAAAGAAAAGAUAAAUAUGGAAUAAAGCAUGAUUGGUCUAAGUAUAUCUGUAUUAACAUGCAUAUUGCAUCAAGUAUCUCAUUAGAUUUUUUAUCUAUGAGAGGUAUCUGUUCUCCUUACCCUUCGGGGUAUCUAUUUCCCCCUCCCCUAUCUGGUCUAGAAAGACAUAAGAGGACCGCUCCUAGUGGAUGACAGCGUGCCCUCUAACUAGAGUGGUAUCGCACUAUCUGUAGGGGUCACCCGUGGCUAAGUAAUGUCGUGACUAUAGAUAUCUGUUACGGCCAUUAUGGUUGGUACGAUCGUGGUCGUAGAUCGUGCUAUGGUUUGGCUAGCUAAAAAUGGGCCAUAGCAAAUUGUUGUAUUUGUAUCUGAUCUGGUCAUUCUACUUUGGUAGUUAUAAAUAAUAGCUGCCUUUAGAGAUAGAAGUUGUAACGACUUCACGAAGCAUGACAUGAAAAUCUUAGCAUUUCAUGAUUUAUUUGAUUUUCUCUAUUAUCUGGAAUGAUAUAUGUUUGAUUUGUUCAUAUUAAU